rnacentral:rRNA from 1 species
UACGUAGGGGGCGAGCGUUGUCCGGAUUUAUUGGGCGUAAAGAGCUCGUAGGCGGCUUGUCGCGUCGUCCGUGAAAACUUGGGGCUCAACCCCAAGCUUGCGGUCGAUACGGGCAGACUAGAGGUAUGCAGGGGAGAACGGAAUUCCUGGUGUAGCGGUGAAAUGCGCAGAUAUCAGGAGGAACACCAAUGGCGAAGGCAGCUCGCUGGGACGUGACUGACGCUGAGACGCGAAAGCGUGGGGAGCAAACAGG